CACUGAGCCAUGAACGUGGACGUCGGAUAUAAAGGGAGCAGCGAGCAGGUCGGAGCACAUCAGCCCUGCACAUUCAAACAGAAGAACAUCUGUCUGUGUCGGGAACCAUGAAGACUCUGCUGGCUCUCACAGUCCUGACGCUCAUCUGCUUCCUGAAGCACAGCUCUGCCAUGCCAGUCGCUAUAGAAAUGGUGAUAAACGGUGUCGAAUGCUGCGAGGCCGUCACUAAUAAAAUCCACAUACCAGUGACAAAGGUGAAGCAUGUGAUGAAGAGCAGCUGCAACCUUGAAGCGAUCAUAGUCACCACUGUGGCUCGGAGGAAGUUCUGCCUUGAUGCUAAAUGGAAACAUGCACAGAUGCAUUUGGAAGAAUUCAAGAAAAAAUCCUCAGCCCGGAAACCCUGAGAGUGAUGAAGGAGAUCUAAAAACAACAGAAAGCUUCUGUGCACAAACUGACGUUUGUUUGAUUGUGUUUGACUUAAAGCUGGGCGAUAGAACGAUAACGAUAUGUAUUGCGAAAUAACUUUUUCUCGUUAGGAAAAUCAAACUGUUGCGAUCUGAAAAAGUCUCAUGUUCCUUAAGUACAUCUACCCUGUUGAACUUAUUAUGGGAAAUAAAUAUUUAAAUAAAAACAAGCUGCUGAUUAUUUCACAUUUUACUUGUGAGCAACGGCACAUUUAAAUCUUACAAAUAUAGUUAUUUGGCUUAUAUCGUGAUAGAUAUCGUUAUCGCCUGAAAUGAAAAAAACAUAUCGUGAUAUGAAAAAAUCUCAUAUCGCCCAGCUCUAGUUUGACUGUUUGAUUGUGUUUGAUUGUGUCUGACUGUGUUUUUGUGAGAACACGGUGUAUGUGUAUGUUUUGAUCUGCUGCAGAACUUUGUGUGUGGUCGACUGUGAUCACACAGAAACGUUUUCAGUUUAAACCUUUGAAAGUUUAUUUUUCUCUGAUGUCUUGAGCUAAACCAAGUAGUGCGACUGAACUCGUGUCAUUGUAUUUAAAAGGCUUGAUAAUUAAUGCUUCACCUUAACUUAAAGUAUUUUUAAAAGUGCUUUUUUUAAAAUAAAACUUUAAAAUACUUUUAAAGUACUAAAGAAGGGAAUUAGAUUUGACAUCACUCCAUAGUCUCGACUCUUCGCUGCUUUCAGCUUAUUUAAGCCAUUGUGCAGAAGUCUGGGGCAGUAACUAUAAACUACAGUGUCCAUCAUUUUCAGUGUUAUUCAUACUAACUCAUUGUUCUUAAAAUGCUGAGGUUUGCAGAUCUAAUUGAAAUAAAAGUAUAACAGAAAGAGUCAGAGCAUGUGUUUUUGUUGUGGAGCACUGCACAGACAUGAAGCACUUCAAAAAAGAGGCAUAAAGAUCAUAAUGAGAUCAUAAAAAUGGUGAAUAUUAGCGAACGUCUCGGUUUAGUUAGCGACCACUUUGUCCGUAUUCACAUUGU
ensembl:lncRNA